ACCUAGGAGCCCUCCUGCACAAGCACUGUGCAGUGAGGCGGGCUGUGCUGCUGGCUGACAGAUCCCGCGGAGCUGCUGGCACAGACACUGGGUGACAUGCCACCUGGGCCCAAACUGCCUGGACUGUGAGAUGACUCAAAAUGACCUCCACACCAGGGCCUAAUGGAUUAAUUUCCACCACGAAGGGAGACAUACGUGGAGAUAUGGGGAAGCAGCUGCCUGGAAGGACACGAAACAGACCAUGAAAAAGCGGAUGGGGCUACUUUCCUUUUCCAGGAAGGAAAGACCAUGAAAACCAUGAGCAUGAUUUGCUGAUGACAAAACAAACAGAGAAGCCACAGGUUUCAUGGCUUUGCUGCCAUCUAGCAGAAGAUGGACAGCCUGACAUCCAUCCCCCCACUGGGACAGAGAAGAAUAUUAGAUUGCUGAGGUAGCUGGGGGAUAAUGUGGAUUAUGGUUCAGGUCUGAGCUGGCCAUUCUGGCUGGUGGACUCUUAAAAAAUGGCUUGUUUCUGGAAAAGCAAAUUUAGAAGCAGAACUAGCUGAGAUUCACUCCUGUUGCUGGAGGAGUGAAACAGGCUGGUCUCCCCUGUUGGCACUGUUGGAGUGAAGGAAAUGUGCACCCAAAAGAACAAGGCUUAGGAAAAUUCUGCUAUGCCCUCUAAAGACAAACCUUCUGAGCAAGGGUGAAUCCUGACCACGCUGAGAGCAAUGGUGCACAUGUUCCUGAUAGUCUGUCCUGACCAUGUAAUGUGUCUCCUGGACCACAGAAAAAGAGUUAGCUGCUUCGCUGGAUCAUGGAGAAAAAGGUGCUGAGCCUGGCUGGCUCCUGCCAUUGGGUCACAGUAGCAGGAGGGAAAAAAGCAGAAGCUGGAAACAGACUGGCC